AAUGUCGCAAUCAAUAUACCGUAGACAGUAACUGGGAAACCUUAAUUUGUUACCGAGGUGUUGAGUUUAUGAAGAACUUGAACUCCUAUCUACGUAUGGGAGUUUUAAAUAUAGCGCG
rfam:Coprobacillus sp. CAG:235 genomic scaffold, scf221